UUUUUGUUUAUAAUUUAAAGUCUAAUCUGCCCACUGAUAAAAAAUAUUGUUGGGCUGCAGUAUUUUGACUGUACAAAGGUAGCAUAAUCAUUAGUCUCUUAAUUGGUGACUUGUAUGAAGGAUUUAAUGAAAUAUAUACUGUCUCUUUUAAAUUUAUAGAAUUUAAUUUUUUAGUUAAAAAGCUAAAAUUUGUUUAAAAGACGAGAAGACCCUAUAGAGUUUAAUAUUUUUAUUAAUUUUUAUUUUUUAUAAAAUUGUUAUUAUAAAAAUUAAUUAAAUUAUUUUGUUGGGGUGAUAGAAAAAUUAAAUUAACUUUUUUUAUAAUUUUUACAUUAAUUUAUGAUUAAAUGAUCCGUAAUUUACGAUUAUAAGAUAAAAUUACCUUAGGGAUAACAGCGUAAUUUUUUUUUUUAGUUCAUAUAAGAAAAAAAGUUUGCGACCUCGAUGUUGGAUUAAGAUAAAAUUUAAAUGCAAAAGUUUAAAAUUUUGAUCUGUUCGAUCAUUAAAAUCUUACA
rnacentral:rRNA from 1 species